rnacentral:lncRNA from 1 species
AGGCUGGCAUGCAGUUGCGCGAUCUCUGUUCACUGCAACCGCCUCCCGUGCUCAAGCGAUUCUCCUGCCUCAGCCUCCCAAGUAGCUGGGAUUACAGGCAUGUACCACCACACCCACUAAUGUUUGUAUUUUCGGUAGAGAUGGGGUUUCACCACGUUGGCCAGGCUAUUUUCAAACUCCUGACCUCAAGUGAUCUGCCUGCCUCGUCCUCCCAAAGUGCUGGGAUUGAAGGCGUGAGUCACCGUGCCCGGCCUGCUUCGUUCAUGUAACUAAAUAUUUGUGAGGCCCUCAGGUUGUGUUCAGGAGGAAGAGACACAGGAACACAGAUGGAGGGCAAGAGGGACAGAUGGCUCUAGCUGGGCUGCCUGGGUGAGAUGCUGGGGCCUGGCCAGGACAGUGUCAGUUCCCAGAGGUCCUGGGACAGGGGAGAAGGGAGGUCAGGGUCACAGAGAGAGAGGCAGGAAGUAGCAAAGGCUGCAGACCCAGCCACAUGGGGCAGGGGAAGGAGAGGCUGGCAUUGGUG